GUCACAUAUUUCAUUCUAAAAAUGGCAAAUAUUCAGAGAAUUACUGUAGCUCCACUCGAUACCAUCGAAGCAAAAGGUGUAAAAGAGGAUAAAAAUCAAAAAGAGCAUAAGCGACUAGGAGCUCCUAGAGGAGAUACAAUAUUUGAUCGAAUGACCAGUGCUUUAGCAAACAUAUUUGUUGCACAGUUUCGAGUUAUGUGUGAACUGGGGAUUUCAUUAGAUCAUAAAUCCAAGAGCUAACCAAAAACUAUAAGCAACAUUAAGAGAAGAAACAGAAAUUCAUAAAUUCAUUAUAAUAAGUUUUACGUAUGUAUAUUAAUUUAAGAUUUGUACCUGUUGAUAAAUAAAUGAUUUCUGUAUGGA